GCUCAGUUCGACAGGGAACGUAUCCCUGAACGUGUUGUUCAUGCUCGAGGAGCCAGUGCCAAGGGUUUCUUUGAAGUAACUCACGAUGUAUCUCACCUUACAUGUGCUGAUUUUCUCCGGGCUCCUGGGGUUCAGACCCCUGUUAUUGUUCGGUUCUCCACCGUUGUGCAUGAGCGUGGAAGCCCUGAGACCUUGAGGGAUCCACGUGGUUUUGCUGUCAAGUUCUACACCAGAGAGGUACUGAUGAUAAAUCUUAACUUGCAUCCUAAAAAGAUGUAUACAUCUUAACUGUUUUGUUUGUUGUUUUACCUUGAGCAUGACCGUUAUUUUAAAAUUAAAACUAUUGCAAGUUAUGUGGAACAUCUUGGCAAUAUUUUUCUGUCAACAUAUGCACUUAUCAAAGACUGUAAUAUCAAUUUUUUCCCUAUUGUGAUUAUUGCACUGGAGUUACAACAACUUGAAUUGUGCUUAAUCCCUGUAAAUAUCCUUUGCAUGAGCUGCUAUACAGAUGAAAUAAUAUCUUAGAUCCGACCAUUUUUUCUGUUUGAAGGUUUGAUUACCACUACCCCCCUUCCCACUUGUAGGCCUAUGCAAUUGAAUGUUUACCUUGUCAUGAGGGGAUUCUUUUAUGGGGACACGCUGCUGACCUAUUCUUAUGCUGUUCGUUAACUUUCUCCUAGUUUCUGACACCUUAUAUUGACCUUUUUAUAUCCAAGGGAUGGUACUUAAUAGCUUUCACCAUGCUUUUUUUCAGGGUAACUUUGACCUUGUGGGUAACAACAUGCCUGUGUUUUUCAUCCGAGAUGGGAUGAAAUUCCCUGACAUGGUUCAUGCUUUCAAGCCAAACCCAAAGACCAAUUUGCAGGAGAACUGGAGAAUAGUAGACUUCUUCUCACACCACCCAGAGAGCAUGCACAUGUUCACCUUCCUCUUCGAUGAUGUUGGCAUCCCACUCAACUACAGGCACAUGGAGGGUUUUGGUGUGAACACCUACACCUUGAUCAGCAGGGACGGAAAGCCUCACCUUGUCAAAU
rnacentral:lncRNA from 1 species